rnacentral:misc_RNA from 1 species
UUUCCGUAGGUGAACCUGCGGAAGGAUCAUUAAAGUUAUCGUCCCCCGGCCCUCUGGGCUGGGGUUUUCUAUCCCUCCCUUUGUUUAUUACACCUUUGUUGCUUUGGCAGGCCUGCCCUCGGGCUGCUGGCUCUGGCCGGCGCGCGUCUGCCAGAGGACCUAAACUCUGUUUGUAUAUGAAGUCUGAGUACUAUAUAAUAGUUAAAACUUUCAACAACGGAUCUCUUGGUUCUG